GUGAAGUUGUCCACUGAGGGGCGCCAGAGGACUGUUAGAAUCACCACAGCUGGGAUCUACAUCUGCACUGCCACGAAUAUAUUUGGGACGGUCACCAGAACAACAACAGUAACUAUAAAAGGUGGCRCCACAAUUAUAUUUUGGGUGAUUGCAUUACUUUUCCUGGUCAUUGUCCUGGUCAUUGCCCUGAAAGUCUUCUGUAUGUGGAAGAAAAGACAAGGAUAUUAUAAUUUCAUACCAGUCAACCAGUCAAAUGUUCCAUUGAUGCCACUGUCUACAACAGGGGUAGAUKACCAUGAUCCAGAGGGGUAUCCUACGAAGGUUUGAGGAGUUACCUAAGUAAAUUAGAUAAACUCUUGAGUUCAACUCGGGAUAACCAGUCAUACGAAAGUGUCUCACCCUUUAGCCAGGUACAUUUCAGAACUAACCUGCUCCUGGGCAGGCUAACUCCAGCCCAGUAGAGGUUACUGAGGGGAGGACGGCCCAUAAUAAUGGCUGGAACGGAGCGUGGAUAACAUUCCACUGAUUGCGCUCCAGCCAUUACCACGAGCCCGUCUUCUCCCGAUUAAGGUGCCAACAAUCUCCUGUGAACUCCACUUGCCCUGACUGAAGUGACUGAGCCACGAGUUGAAGACCAAUUAAAUAAGAACCACUCCCGCUGGUAAAGAUUGCGUCAUAAUCUACUUCAUUUGAGGAAGACAAUAUUUUAUUAAUGAUUUUUUUGUUGUUGUGUGUAAUUAUUAUUAUUUUUUUUUGGGGGGGGGGGUAAAAUAUAUCACAUUCCAAAUGUUGUAAUGACAGAAUGCAUUUUAAACUUCACGCACAGUAACACGUUUGUACAAUAUUAAAAUGAUUUGGUCUACAUGCAACAAUGGGAUUUAAUAAAUCAAAUCCUUAAAAAUAAA